CAAGCAAAUACAUUUUUGUGCCAUAAGCUUGUGUCCUCCUGAAAUGCAUCCUUCCCCGACAAGUAGCUGCUUCAGCAGACGCUGGUGUUGACACUGCUGAAUUCUGUACAGACUGUGAUGGCUCUGACUGCAUGGCCAGACCCCCACAUGGGGUGCAGAAAGCACAUUAGAGGCUGAACGUUGGCCCUUGGAGCACUAGGCUAGAGUUGCUCCUGUGAUCACUUGGGAAUACACGCUCUGAGGUUGGAAAAAGAUUCUGAGACUAGAUUGGGGAAAAAUCCUGCAAAGCAGAGAGGAGAGCCCAAAGUUGAACACAGCGGAAAAGACAUAGUUUGAAAAAAUCCUCAAUUUUGUAUCUAUGUAAUGUAAUACAGAUACUUAAGAGUAAAAACUUAAAAUUAGUAUU
rnacentral:lncRNA from 1 species